UGGGUUGAUUGUUCGCUGCCUCCUCAGUCAGUUGGGGUUGUCGGUCUGGGAGUGGUCGAGUCGGCGGUUUUCUUCGAAAUUUCUCGAGGUACCCUCGGCGUAUGAGGGCCUCGAUUUCAUCCUUAAGUUGGAUACACUGCUCGGUGUUAUGGCCAUGGUCCUGAUGAAAUCGACAGUACUUUCGUCGGUCGAGGCCCUUUGCCUUCAAAGGC
rnacentral:lncRNA from 1 species